CACUCCUACGGGAGGCAGCAGUGGGGAAUUUUGGACAAUGGGCGAAAGCCUGAUCCAGCCAUGCCGCGUGCAGGAUGAAGGCCUUCGGGUUGUAAACUGCUUUUGUACGGAACGAAACGGCCUUUUCUAAUAAAGAGGGCUAAUGACGGUACCGUAAGAAUAAGCACCGGCUAACUACGUGCCAGCAGCCGCGGUAAUACGUAGGGUGCAAGCGUUAAUCGGAAUUACUGGGCGUAAAGCGUGCGCAGGCGGUUAUGUAAGACAGUUGUGAAAUCCCCGGGCUCAACCUGGGAACUGCAUCUGUGACUGCAUAGCUAGAGUACGGUAGAGGGGGAUGGAAUUCCGCGUGUAGCAGUGAAAUGCGUAGAUAUGCGGAGGAACACCGAUGGCGAAGGCAAUCCCCUGGACCUGUACUGACGCUCAUGCACGAAAGCGUGGGGAGCAAACAGGAUUAGAUACCCUUGUAGUCCCAUGAU
rnacentral:rRNA from 1 species